UUUUAUUGGCUGACUUGAUAGGAUAAUUUUGAGCUUUUAAGGAUCUUUGUACAUGUUGGAAGGAGACAGUUCAUGGCGAAAUCAGAUGAAUUUUACACCUUGUCGAGGGCAGCGAACUAAAGUAGUUACGAGUAGGAGACGGGUAGCAGUGAACUCCACCACACUAACACCAACAAGGAACACAGACUCGUGCAGAAUGUUGAUCUAAAAUUGGAUUCGAG
rnacentral:misc_RNA from 1 species